rnacentral:rRNA from 1 species
GACAGAAGGUGCAAGCGUUACUCGGAAUUACUGGGCGUAAAGCGUCUGUAGGUUUUUAAUCACGUCUGGCAGCAAAUUGCGGGGCUCAACCCCGCAUCCCUGCCGGAUACGAGUUGAAUAGAGUCAUUCAGAGGCAUCUGGAAUGUCAUGUGUAGGGGUAAAAUCCGUAGAUACAUGAUGGAACGCCAAAAGCGAAGGCAGGAUGCUAGGAAUGUACUGACACUCAGAGACGAAAGCGUGGGGAGCAAAGGGG